rnacentral:rRNA from 1 species
ACGAGCGCAACCCCCGUCCUUAGUUGCUACCAUUUAGUUGAGCACUCUAAGGAGACUGCCGGUGAUUAGCCGCGAGGAAGGUGGGGAUGACGUCAAGUCCUCAUGGCCCUUAUGGGUAGGGCUUCACACGUAAUACAAUGGCGCGUACAGAGGGUUGCCAACCCGCGAGGGCGAGCUAAUCUCAGAAAGCGCGUCGUAGUCCGGAGGGGAGUCUGCAACUCGACUCCGUGAAGUAGGAAUCGCUAGUAAUCGCUAAUCAGCAUGUCG